UCCUGGUCGGACAUCAGGAGGUUAGUGCAAUGGCAUAAGCCAGCUUGACUGCGAGCGUGACGGCGCGAGCAGGUGCGAAAGCAGGUCAUAGUGAUCCGGUGGUUCUGAAUGGAAGGGCCAUCGCUCAACGGAUAAAAGGUACUCCGGGGAUAACAGGCUGAUACCGCCCAAGAGUUCAUAUCGACGGCGGUGUUUGGCACCUCGAUGUCGGCUCAUCACAUCCUGGGGCUGAAGUAGGUCCCAAGGGUAUGGCUGUUCGCCAUUUAAAGUGGUACGCGAGCUGGGUUUAGAACGUCGUGAGACAGUUCGGUCCCUAUCUGCCGUGGGCGCUGGAGAACUGAGGGGGGCUGCUCCUAGUACGAGAGGACCGGAGUGGACGCAUCACUGGUGUUCGGGUUGUCAUGCCAAUGGCACUGCCCGGUAGCUAAAUGCGGAAGAGAUAAGUGCUGAAAGCAUCUAAGCACGAAACUUGC
rnacentral:rRNA from 1 species